rnacentral:lncRNA from 1 species
UCAUAUCCAAACUCACCCUCUGAUCCCUAUUAGAGAACUUCUUAAAGUUGGAUGUGGGUGGCCUUUCUUCCCAAACCACAAACUGGUACCUACUGUUUACUUCCUUGGUCUGGGUUCUCUGCCUCCAGUAACCAUUGGAGGUUCCCCUUGGCUUGAUUCAGAGGUGUCUGUUGGAUCAUGGCAGGGGCUCCUGAUUCCAUCCUGCUGGGUUGAGGAUGUCGCUCUGGGCCUGGGCCUGAGAGAAUAUAGAGCCUCAUACCUCGUGUUUAAACACCGAGUGGGACAGACAGAUCUGUAGUCUUUCUAGAGGUCACUCAGCAACACACGUGCAGGUCGAGUCCCACCGGCCGGGCCCCACUCUCCUGACACUCCGGCGUGCUGGCCUCCGUCUUUCCCCCAAGUCACGGCCAUAAAGUGAAGGCCCCUGGUCUGUCUUAACACCCCUGCUGUUGUGGCUUUUGUUUGUGCAUGAAUACAUUCUAUUCUGCUGCCAAUGCCUGGCCGAGGGCCCGUACAGCGGAGUCAUGCGAAUGGAGGAAGGGAGGGAGGAACCUUCAGGAAGGCGCACACACCAUAGUCCUGCCUGCCCAGUGUGACUGCGGAAACCUGGGCUCAGUAGGCUGUAAGGAGGGAACAGUCUUGAAAGAAACUGGGCACUCUGUCCACAGAUUGAAAAUAUUUGGGAGUGGGAAGGGGCCAAAAUGGUUUCUUGUCACCAUUUCUAACCUGUGUGGUAUGGCUGCCGUCUGCAUAAUGACUGUUAGCAGUCGAGAGAGGAUUUGUCAAGGGUAAGGAGGAGCUAGGAGUCGAUCAGUGUCGAGGGCAGGUGUACUUCAUGAGGCUCUUGGUUCCAUACCCAGAACCAAACCAAAAAACAACAGAACAAAAAAAAAAAAAAAAAA